rnacentral:rRNA from 1 species
GCUCAUCGCAUCCUGGGGCUGUAGUCGGUCCCAAGGGUUGGGCUGUUCGCCCAUUAAAGCGGUACGCGAGCUGGGUUCAGAACGUCGUGAGACAGUUCGGUCCCUAUCCGUCGUGGGCGUAGGAAAUUUGAGAGGAGCUGUCCUUAGUACGAGAGGACCGGGAUGGACAUACCUCUGGUGUACCAGUUGUCGUGCCAACGGCAUAGCUGGGUAGCUAUGUGUGGACGGGAUAAGUGCUGAAAGCAUCUAAGCAUGAAGCCCCCCUCAAGAUGAGAUUUCCCAACUUCGGUUAUAAGAUCCCUCAAAGAUGAUGAGGUUAAUAGGUUCGAGGUGGAAGCAUGGUGACAUGUGGAGCUGACGAAUACUAA